UGGCUGUUCUAAAUUUGGGAAGACAAAAGCGUGAAUUUUGAUGCAGUACGGAUGGUGAUUUAAGCCAUUUGGAAGGAACAAAAUGGUGUGCUAUGGGAGGCGCAAUUUUCUGAACCUUUGGAGGUGGUUCAAAGGAUGUUUAGCUGGCUUCAUGAUUUCUAGGUGGUCAACUAGCAACCUAGCUGAGUGUAGGAGUCAAAAUAGGAUUGGUGGUUAUCCUAAUGAUGGGUGGCUUAAACUGAACAAUUGAUGGUGUUGUACAACUGAAUGAGGAAAUUGGAGAUGCUGAAUGGUAAUACGCAGGGAAUGAAUAAGUUUCAAGGUGGCGGGGGUGUGGAGGUUUCAAGGCAUUGCUUCAGUCAAGCAAGUGGAACUUCUUGCUAUUAGGGCAGACUUGCACCUUGCGAAGUCUCUUAGAUGCGAUCAAAUUGUAGUGGAGAUUGAUUCUAUGGAAACUAUGGCUACCUAUAAUGGUAGUAGUAUGGAUCUAUCUAGUCUCAGCUUUAUUGCCACUGAUAUCCAGGAGUUGAUGUCUAUGGGUACAAUAUCGUAUAUGAAGGAAAAAAUUUGUAAAAACAAGUUCAUUUGAGCAACAUUUAUGCAUGCUAUUGACAAUUAAAAGGCGAAAUCAUGUUUGUAUGCACUCAAAAACAAAACUUAACCCAUGAAAUUCAAAGCCUAGUUGUUGUGCUGAACCAAGACUCAACUCAAGAACAAAGUGAGUUGAGAAAUCUUAUACUUUUGUUGAUUCCUCUUUGCAUAAGCAAAAGCUAAUCACCCAAGGAGAGGGCCUUCAUUCCUUGCUUCUUAGCUCCAUGGAUUUCUUGGAGGAGGAUGGUUGAAAGGAUUCUCCAAGUUCCCAAAAUAGAGAACCUCUAAUUUUUCCACACCAAGGAGAACAUUGAUGAAGAAUGAAGGAAGAUUGCUAGCUAUGUUCCUCUAGGGUGGCCAACCUCUUAGAGAGAAAGGGAGAGUUUGUGUUCUCUCCAAUUUCCUCAAAGAAAAACCUUAAUGAUGAAAUGGCUAUAAAGUUUCCGUUAUACCAUCUCACAAUGGAGUGACAAACUUGCAAUUAAGGCAAGUUCCCUACC
rnacentral:lncRNA from 1 species